rnacentral:rRNA from 1 species
UACGGAGGGGACUAGCGUUGUUCGGAAUUACUGGGCGUAAAGCGCACGUAGGCGGAUUUGUAAGUCAGGGGUGAAAUCCCGGGGCUCAACCUCGGAACUGCCUUUGAUACUGCAAAUCUCGAGUCCGGAAGAGGUGAGUGGAACUGCGAGUGUAGAGGUGAAAUUCGUAGAUAUUCGCAAGAACACCAGUGGCGAAGGCGGCUUUUUGGUCUGUAACUGACGCUGAGGCGCGAAAGCGUGGGGAGCAAACAGG